CCAGACGUUAGAAGAUGCUGGGCUAGAGAAUGAUUCGGGUCUGUUGAAUAUGAGAAGCAUAGAAAUUGACCUACAAAUUAUGAAGGAGAAAGCUCAUGACUUGGGAGUGCAAGUAUCGAAAUUGGAAAAAAAGAAAGUCCAAAUGAAGAAUGAUUUGAAGUGUUUAAAAGAAGAACUAAGGAAUUUAUAAACUAGGGAGAAAUGGUUCUUACUUGUAAUUGGGAUGCUUCUUAUGAUGUGUUUGAGCAUAAUAAAAACCAUGAAAUAGUUUAAGUUGUUUUGAUGUUUGAAAAAAUUUGAUAUAUAAAUCCAAUGUGUAUAAUGUUGUUUGGAUAAUUAGAUUAUUUGAAGAAUGAUUUUGUUUGGAUAAUUACAUUAUUUGAAGAAUGAUUUUAGGGUUAGAUAAUUAUGUUUAUUUGUAUAAUUAUUUAGCAAAACAGAUGCUACUUCACUAAUUGGGGACAUUCCAAAUUAUUUUAUUUGUACUUUUACAAAACAGAG
rnacentral:lncRNA from 1 species